rnacentral:rRNA from 1 species
GACGAACGCUGGCGGCGUGCUUAACACAUGCAAGUCGAACGGAAAGGCCCUGCUUUUGUGGGGUGCUCGAGUGGCGAACGGGUGAGUAACACGUGAGUAACCUGCCCUUGACUUUGGGAUAACUUCAGGAAACUGGGGCUAAUACCGGAUAGGAGCUCCUGCUGCAUGGUGGGGGUUGGAAAGUUUCGGCGGUUGGGGAUGGACUCGCGGCUUAUCAGCUUGUUGGUGGGGUAGUGGCUUACCAAGGCUUUGACGGGUAGCCGGCCUGAGAGGGUGACCGGCCACAUUGGGACUGAGAUACGGCCCAGACUCCUACGGGAGGCAGCAGUGGGGAAUAUUGCACAAUGGGCGGAAGCCUGAUGCAGCAACGCCGCGUGCGGGAUGACGGCCUUCGGGUUGUAAACCGCUUUCGCCUGUGACGAAGCGUGAGUGACGGUAAUGGGUAAAGAAGCACCGGCUAACUACGUGCCAGCAGCCGCGGUGAUACGUAGGGUGCGAGCGUUGUCCGGAUUUAUUGGGCGUAAAGGGCUCGUAGGUGGUUGAUCGCGUCGGAAGUGUAAUCUUGGGGCUUAACCCUGAGCGUGCUUUCGAUACGGGUUGACUUGAGGAAGGUAGGGGAGAAUGGAAUUCCUGGUGGAGCGGUGGAAUGCGCAGAUAUCAGGAGGAACACCAGUGGCGAAGGCGGUUCUCUGGGCCUUUCCUGACGCUGAGGAGCGAAAGCGUGGGGAGCGAACAGGCUUAGAUACCCUGGUAGUCCACGCUGUAAACGGUGGGUACUAGGUGUGGGGUCCAUUCCACGGGGUCCGUGCCGUAGCUAACGCUUUAAGUACCCCGCCUGGGGAGUACGGCCGCAAGGCUAAAACUCAAAGGAAUUGACGGGGCCCCGCACAAGCGGCGGAGCAUGCGGAUUAAUUCGAUGCAACGCGUAGAACCUUACCUGGGUUUGACAUGGAUCGGGAGUGCUCAGAGAUGGGUGUGCCUCUUUUGGGGUCGGUUCACAGGUGGUGCAUGGCUGUCGUCAGCUCGUGUCGUGAGAUGUUGGGUUAAGUCCCGCAACGAGCGCAACCCUUGUUCACUGUUGCCAGCACGUUAUGGUGGGGACUCAGUGGAGACCGCCGGGGUCAACUCGGAGGAAGGUGGGGAUGACGUCAAGUCAUCAUGCCCCUUAUGUCCAGGGCUUCACGCAUGCUACAAUGGCUGGUACAGAGAGUGGCGAGCCUGUGAGGGUGAGCGAAUCUCGGAAAGCCGGUCUCAGUUCGGAUUGGGGUCUGCAACUCGACCUCAUGAAGUCGGAGUCGCUAGUAAUCGCAGAUCAGCAACGCUGCGGUGAAUACGUUCCCGGG